UGCAGACUUAAGAUUUUGGCAUGCAUACUUAAAAUUCUAGUAUGCAUACUUGAUUUUUAAGUAUGCAUACUU